AUUGAACGCUGGCGGCAGGCCUAACACAUGCAAGUCGAGCGGAUGAAGGGGGCUUGCUCCUGGAUUCAGCGGCGGACGGGUGAGUAAUGCCUAGGAAUCUGCCUGGUAGUGGGGGAUAACGUCCGGAAACGGGCGCUAAUACCGCAUACGUCCUGAGGGAGAAAGUGGGGGAUCUUCGGACCUCACGCUAUCAGAUGAGCCUAGGUCGGAUUAGCUAGUUGGUGGGGUAAAGGCCUACCAAGGCGACGAUCCGUAACUGGUCUGAGAGGAUGAUCAGUCACACUGGAACUGAGACACGGUCCAGACUCCUACGGGUGGCAGCAGUGGGGAAUAUUGGACAAUGGGCGAAAGCCUGAUCCAGCCAUGCCGCGUGUGUGAAGAAGGUCUUCGGAUUGUAAAGCACUUUAAGUUGGGAGGAAGGGCAGUAAGUUAAUACCUUGCUGUUUUGACGUUACCAACAGAAUAAGCACCGGCUAACUUCGUG
rnacentral:rRNA from 1 species